rnacentral:lncRNA from 1 species
UGAUUCACAAACCUCGGAAAAGGCCCCAUUAGCCAUUUAAUAUUACUCGGGCAAACUAAAUGAGAGGCAGCAGAAACUCUACGUGAAACCGUAAUAUCUGGCAACCCCGGCAGCUGUGGCCGGCCUCCCUGCCUGCGCUGGAUGUUAGCUGUGGUCCAUCUGCAUCUGACUGAACCUAAACAUCACCCCCAAAGCGGGUACGCCAGGCCUCGCUGUGUGACAUUUGGUGAGACUGGUUUCCUGUAUGACUCCUACCAGCAGAUGGCAGAAUAGAUCUGGCUUUUCCUCAGCGUGACCUUUCCCUGCAGUUACAGGGUCAAACGCACACCCACUCGUACUUCCUCUCAACAAAAACAGGCACACACAUGUAUCCAGAGGCACGUACUCAAAGGGCUAAAUACUGGUUUACUAAGACAGAACGAAAAACAAGGCUGCAGCUGCCAAAAAGUUGGUUUUAAGAGGAAGCCGUCAUUUUAUUCCAGUAAAGAAGGUAAGUCUCUAAAAAGCCCAGAAGUAAACUGUACUUUGACCUGAGGUAUUUGUAGCUUUAUGCUUUGGCUG